rnacentral:rRNA from 1 species
GACGAACGCUGGCGGCGUGCUUAACACGUGCAAGUCGAACGGAAAGGCCCUGCUUUUGUGGGGUGCUCGAGUGGCGAACGGGUGAGUAACACGUGAGUAACCUGCCCUUGACUUUGGGAUAACUUCAGGAAACUGGGGCUAAUACCGGAUAGGAGCUCCUGCUGCAUGGUGGGGGUUGGAAAGUUUCGGCGGUUGGGGAUGGACUCGCGGCUUAUCAGCUUGUUGGUGGGGUAGUGGCUUACCAAGGCUUUGACGGGUAGCCGGCCUGAGAGGGUGACCGGCCACAUUGGGACUGAGAUACGGCCCAGACUCCUACGGGAGGCAGCAGUGGGGAAUAUUGCACAAUGGGCGGAAGCCUGAUGCAGCAACGCCGCGUGCGGGAUGACGGCCUUCGGGUUGUAAACCGCUUUCGCCUGUGACGAAGCGUGAGUGACGGUAAUGGGUAAAGAAGCACCGGCUAACUACGUGCCAGCAGCCGCGGUGAUACGUAGGGUGCGAGCGUUGUCCGGAUUUAUUGGGCGUAAAGGGCUCGUAGGUGGUUGAUCGCGUCGGAAGUGUAAUCUUGGGGCUUAACCCUGAGCGUGCUUUCGAUACGGGUUGACUUGAGGAAGGUAGGGGAGAAUGGAAUUCCUGGUGGAGCGGUGGAAUGCGCAGAUAUCAGGAGGAACACCAGUGGCGAAGGCGGUUCUCUGGGCCUUUCCUGACGCUGAGGAGCGAAAGCGUGGGGAGCGAACAGGCUUAGAUACCCUGGUAGUCCACGCUGUAAACGGUGGGUACUAGGUGUGGGGUCCAUUCCACGGGUUCCGUGCCGUAGCUAACGCUUUAAGUACCCCGCCUGGGGAGUACGGCCGCAAGGCUAAAACUCAAAGGAAUUGACGGGGCCCCGCACAAGCGGCGGAGCAUGCGGAUUAAUUCGAUGCAACGCGUAGAACCUUACCUGGGUUUGACAUGGAUCGGGAGCGCUCAGAGAUGGGUGUGCCUCUUUUGGGGUCGGUUCACAGGUGGUGCAUGGCUGUCGUCAGCUCGUGUCGUGAGAUGUCGGGUUAAGUCCCGCAACGAGCGCAACCCUUGUUCACUGUUGCCAGCACGUUAUGGUGGGGACUCAGUGGAGACCGCCGGGGUCAACUCGGAGGAAGGUGGGGAUGACGUCAAGUCAUCAUGCCCCUUAUGUCCAGGGCUUCACGCAUGCUACAAUGGCUGGUACAGAGAGUGGCGAGCCUGUGAGGGUGAGCGAAUCUCGGAAAGCCGGUCUCAGUUCGGAUUGGGGUCUGCAACUCGACCUCAUGAAGUCGGAGUCGCUAGUAAUCGCAGAUCAGCAACGCUGCGGUGAAUACGUUCCCGGG